rnacentral:misc_RNA from 1 species
AAAAAAAGUGGUGGGGGGAGGGGGGAACCUACUGCAUAGAAAAUGGUGCCUAAAAAGUAGCCAUUCAUCAACUUAAUAUUAGUGUCUUUUUGUAUAUAAAUCAUUGUGCAUAUUCAAGAUUACAUUGUAUUUACAAUACGUUGGAUUCAGCUACAACUAUGCUCUUGUAAUGGACUAAACACUUGUAAAUUUGCAUACCACAGCACCAUAUAAAAGCAAUAAUUGAUAGAAAAUGAACAUGUUUCCAAUCUAAAUUUGUCCGUUUUGGAACAGAACUGCACAGAUGAACACUUAGUCUGUGCUAGCCUGCUAGGAACUUUAGCCUUCAGCAAUAAAUAAUCUAUAAAGCCAACCUAAAACCUAGCUGCAGAACAUAGAAUUGUCCAAAGGAAGAAACUAUAAAGAACUCAAGAAGACAAGGGCACAAUACAAAAUUGUGCAUUGCUAUAUAAGCACUUUGUUAACAGCUGAGCAGUCAAUAAAUUAGAGCAAUUACCAAAAACUCUUAACUUAGCUAGACCUUUGUCUCUGCUAAUUCGGGUCACUGCCCCAGAUAGAGCUAGAAGGUCUAGCUGAGAGCAAGCCAUUAACAAUACAAGGAUGCGGCAGUGACUAUCCAGAUCCAAAACUGAUAGCCAGUGUAGGUUUUUUCGUUAAAUUUGGUAUGUAAUCUAAGCUCUAAAUACUCAAUUACCAGCUCAAUUCGCUCUCAAAAUGAAAUCAACUGGCUGAACCAGCGGCCAUAUCCUAAAAUCAAAGUUUUAUGCGCCACCAACAGAUUGACAAAAAAAACCGCAAAAAAAAAAA